AAUCAAUGAACUUGAAUAAGUUUUUGUUUUGAAAACAAAAUAUAGAAAUUUAAAUUUUCUAUUGAUUU
rnacentral:tRNA from 1 species